AAAAUUCAAAACAAGGACUUCCUAAGAUACGAAGGCUAACAGGACAGUGUGUCGGGUCAUCUUUUAAACACUGUAUGUUUCUCUUGUGUGCCUGUGUUUUUAACAGGCAACUUUAUUAAUUAGUUUAAAGUCACUCUGACAAAUCGGUAACUAAUUACUUUGGCACCACAAUGGUAUUUUUUGUCACCAAGCCCUACUUCUUUUAACUAAUUGUUAACAAUGGAAUUUACAAAGAAAGAAUAUUCCUAUUAACUUUAGCUCUUAGUACUGGAUGCGGAUUGUUUCCAACCCUACCACUACCGCAGACUGAUCACACAGGUUUGGAGGAGGCGCUAAUCUCUGGAUAUACUUUCUCACUUUAGAAUUAAGUUGGACUAGACCUCAAAAAAAAUGAAGUUUUACUAAAUACUUGAAUAUAGUUUCUAAUGCUGAAAUUUAAUGACACUAUCGGACUUAAAAGGGGCACAGUUUUUAAAAGCCCUUAUCUUGACGUUAAUCACAGUGGCUUACACUGCAGACACUUGAGAUAAAAUUGUAGACUGCAGGUAGCUAGCUAUGGUUAGUAAGCAAUCUUUAAGAUGACGUGAACUAUGUUCUGCCAGGGGUUGGCAUUUUGAAAGCGGAAGAUUCUGGUAGUGAUCUUUCAGCAUUUUAAGUACCUUCUACCAUCUCUCCAGCCUAGACUGUCAUGAUGGAAUUGUCCUUCGUGCUCCUCUCGAUGCCAGAAUUGAAGGGGAACGGGGAGACGUUGCAGUAGAAACUGCCACCCAGCUUCUCAGGGAUCUUGGCAGCUGCUCAGCCCAGGAGAUCUCACAGCCCCCUCUCCACUGUCCUUACUCUGCUCAUUCUGCUUUUCUCACUCUGUACGCACUCUUAGUAAGCUCCUUUGGUGGACAGACUGAAUGUUAGGUGCUGACCCAUAGACGCACAUUUUGGGUUAAUUCCUUUCUCAUCUUCCCCUCAGUACCACUCCUUGCGUGACUUCAACAGUUUACUGUUUCUCUCCAUCCCAGCCCGGCAUAUUGUGGACUCUUGUCUUCCUAAGCUACACCCUUGUCUAAAAACGAAAGGGUCAGUUCCAAAUUCUCCCACUAGCCUUGAGGGGAACGGGAUCCAGAAGAACAGUUUCCAGAGUCUCUUCUGUGUGGAAGGACGCGUUUUAGAUCCUUUACUAGGCCAUCGCCUUUCAUACUUCACAGUGACCCUGCGAGGAGUGCGUCGUUACAGCUGUCUUCUGGCAGGAAGCGCGUGCAGGGAUGUUGAGCAUCUUGCCCAGCAAACAGCAAGCCUGGAGCCCACGCUGGUGACUCAUGUUCUGCACGUCCGUGUUCUGGGCAGAGUGGAGUCACCGCCACGGUUUUCUUCCUCCUCUAAACACCUGCCGAUUCUGGCCCGCCCUUGCUUUUCCUGUACCUGUAGUGUGGCGAGUCCACUGCCUGUCUGUGGCCUUCAGAUCCCAGCCUUAGUGUUACCUCUUCAAGGGGUAUUUCACUCACUUUUCUCUGGUCAUUGCAGUCUGAAAUGCUGUAUUCACCUAGAACACUGUUACACUUAGCAACGUAUUGUUCUCUUUGCAAUGAACAUGUUCCGGUGACCAGAGAGCUGAGGACGGGCCGAGUUGGGUCGUGGCCGGCUUGACCCCCCCAGCCAGAGCGCGCAGGCGCCCUCACUGCGGCGCUGUCCGGACUCUCAGUGCCCGUCUCCUCCUCUUCUUCACGAGAGGGGUUACGUACAUGCUGACUUGGACCUUCUGUUGGCUUUUUUACAGUAGACGAAUUAAAGGACUGUGAUCCUUGACGAUAAAAUGUGAUUCAGCCAAGGGACUUCUCCUGAAUCAGCAUGUUAAAAAAUAAGGACCGUUCUUCUAAACAAGGUAACUCAGCUGUCAUCGCGGUCGCUUUACAAGAUCACAUUUUACAGGAUCUUCAGCUUGGAACUCUUUCCGUGGCAGAUCCUGCUAAGACAAAGGUACAAAAGAGAGAAAACAGGUCCAGUUCUCUGAAGAGAAAUGCGAGAGCAGUGGUAGACACUGGACGUAGAAAGGCUCCCCAAGGCCCUAAAGUGGAAGAUCCAGAAAAGGAGUAUGUUCUUGAUCCAAAACCACCGCCACUGACGCUAGCACAGAAGUUGGGCCUCUUUGCACCUCCGCCCCCACCACUGUCCUCGGAGGAAUGGGAAACCGUGAAGCAAAGGUCCGUCCUGCAAGGGGACUCCACGCAGCCCUGCCCGAUCUGCAAGGAAGAGUUUGAACUGCGCCCCCAGGUGCUGCUGUCCUGUUCCCAUGUGUUCCACAGGGCGUGCCUUCAGGCUUUUGAAAAGUUCACAAGCAAAAAAACCUGUCCCCUCUGUAGAAGAAGCCAGUAUCAGACCAGAGUGAUUCACACCGGGGCCCAACUGUUCAAAGCCAAGUGCGCGGCCAGGAUCCAGGCCUGCUGGAGGGGACACGUGGUCAGGAAGUGGUACCAAGACCUGAGGAGGACGGUGCCACCCAAAGAUGCCAAACUGAGGAGGAAAUUCUUUGAAGAAAAGGAGUUGGACACCAUCAAAGGCGACAUGUGAGCACAGGAAACACCGUGUAUGUCCACGGCACAGAGCUUCGACCAGAGGGUGGGAGACGGCCCCGCUGCCAGGGCAGCCUGAGCCUGGGCGCAGCAGCUGUGGCCCCUGGAGCAGCCGGGCGCGGGAGAGGAGUGGAGCGGCUGUGGAUGGAGAAUCUGCGGUUGUUCAGUGUUUUCUUCAAGCCGUUCGCACCCCUACAGCAGGGACUGGGGAGCAGAGUUGUCUAGGGACCGAGAACGGGGUCCUGUCGCAGACCGUGUAUCGGCAGGCGGCAGCCCUCCCGCAGCAGCCCUGGCCCCCCAAACGCCUGUGCCAGUCACGCCAGGGCCCUUCACGACACAGACCACUUCUUACCGUUUAUUGAAUGACUCGUGCAAUUUGAUGAUUUCUUCUACCUUUUCAACUUGACGGCACCCACUAGCUGAGCUGGGAAACGUCAGUCUACAGGUCUGAGACGCCAGCGCGUCCUGAUGGAGUCUGAGGAUGGCUGGACGAGGCUACUGAACUUCAUGCUGCCCAGGGUUCUGUAGGUAUAUCCAGACCGCACGGACGUGUACACAGAUGAUAUUUUGAGAACCUAUGUCAGUAAAUUACCAUAAGCUAUUGGGUAAAAGGUUGUUGAGGAACUGGAUUUUUCACACAGUCUGAAAGAAUCAUCCCACAGAUCAGUUAUAGGUCUGGCAGACAUCGUCUCAGCCCAGUGACCGAAGUUACCAGUAACUGGACAGAGAGACCCCACGUGCCCGGACGUGCACGGGGUGCACCAGGGCAGAGCACACUGGAAAUGCUUCGCCCGAACCCCCUCAUGAGAAUACAUGUCAUCCGGCAAAUCCAACAUGAGGGCUUUCUGUACAACAGCUGACUUCAGCUCUGGAAGGGACUUGAUUUAGAGCGAUAAAACUGUCGAUGACAAAAAAGUUUUAAAAGCAGCAAGAGAAAAUAGCUUGUGACUAGCUUCACAAGAAAACGCCCAGAGGCCACACGUGGAUUUCUCAGCGGAGGCCUCACAGGCCAGGAGAUGAUACAGUCAAAGUGCUGAAAGGGAAAGCUGCCAACCAAGACAGCUCUGCCCAGCAAAGCUGGCCUUCAGAUGUGAAGGGGAGAGAACGCCCUUCCCGGACAGAGGCCGAAGGAGCUCACCGUCACUAGACCCGCCUUGCCAGAAAUGCUGAAAAAAGGUUUCAAGCUUAAAUGAAAGCGAGCUAAUUAGUGGCAAGAGAAAGUAUGAAUAUAAGGAACACACUUGUAAAACAAAGUACGCAGACGAAUUUAGACUGAUGUCGUAACACUGGUGUAUCAGCUGCCCCAGUCUCUUACAAAGGUGAAAGGAUGGCAGCAUCAAACGUGGCCCUAGCGACAGUGACUUGUUAGUGAACUCACACUUCGAGAGAGUAAACUGUGACAGCAAAACAUGAAAGCGGGCAGUGAAGGUUAGCGUUUUUGUACACAAUCAAACUCAUCAGUGUAGAAUAGACUCCUGUCGACAUGAGGUUUGAUGUAACCUCGUGGUGACCACAAAGUGAAACCGUCCAGCAGGCGCUCAGAGGGAGGGCUGGGCGCGCCCACCCACUUCGCCCGGAGGGCAGCGGGUGGGCCGGGGAGGCACAGGGGACCGGGGGCAGCUGGGGACGAGAUGGUGCUCGGAAGCCCUUACCGACCCGCGACUCUCUGAAUGCAGGUGAGCUCGUGUCUCUGAUCAAAAGGCACGAAUGACCGGAUAGUUGGAAAAUCAAGGUUCAACUUAAAUGCUGCCUAGAAGAGACUCACUUCAGCAUUAAGGCCACACAUCAGCUCCAAGUGAAGGGACGGGAAAAAGUAUUCCACACAAGAUGGAGAAAGAGCAGGGCAGGGUGGCUACCCUUCCGUCAGAUAGAGUAGACUAACUCAAAAACUGCUGCAGAUGGAGAAGGUCACGAUACAGUGGUAAGCGGUUAGUUCAUCAAGAGGAUAUAACAAAAAUUAACUCAGAAUGGACUAGGGACUUAAACUUAAGACCUGGAACCACAAGACCCCUAUAGGAGAGCACAGGAUAAAAUCUCCCUGGAGGCGGUCUGGCAGGGAUGUCUUGGAUGUAACACCAAAAGCAUCGGCAAGAACAGCAAAAGCAAGUGAACGGGGCUCCAGAGAAGGGACCGCUCCCCACAGCACGGGGCACAGGCCGCGAGAGGAAGAGAAGGCACCUACGGGCCGGGAGGAGAUGUCUGCACAUCACGUAUCCCACAGGGGCUUUAUCCAAAAUACGUAAAGAACUCACACUACUGAAGAGCCAGAAAGCCCAGACAGCUGAUUGAAACAUGGACAGAGCAGGUGAACAGGCGUGUUUCCCGGGAAGACAUCCGUGGCCAGCAGGGGCACAAAAAAGGUGCCAGCAUCCCCGAUCAUCAGGGAAGUGCAAGUCGACGGCACAGUGAGAUCUCACCGCACACCUGGUAGCACGCCUGUCAGCAAGAAGCGGAGGAAUAACACGCAGGUGAGGAUGUGGGGAAAGGGGAGCCCCGUGCACUGUUGGUGGGAAUGUAAAUUGGUGCAGCCACUGUGGGAAACAGCCUGGAGGUUCCUCAGAAAUUAAAAGGAAGAGCCAUGUGGUCCAGCCCCCCCACCUCCAGGGCAUGUGUCUACCCACAGGAGACGGAAUCAGGAUCUCUGAGAGGUGUGUGCAGUCCCGUGCAGUCCUGUGCUCCUGCAGCGUUGCGCGCAGCAGCCAAGACACAGAGACAACCCGAGUGUCUGUCAAAAGAUAAGUGGAUAAAGAAGAUGUCGUGUACUUCUGGAACGUGUGGAACUCAGCCACGAGAAUAAGAGAAACUGCCACUUGAAACAAUGUGAAUGAACCGUGAGGACGUAAGAUGAUAAGUAAGAUAAAUCAGACAGAGGAAGACAAAUACAGUAUGAUUCCACUUAUAUGUGAACUCACGGAAACAGCAGAACGGUGGUGGCCAGGGCCGGGGCAGGCGCGUGGGAGGGGCGGUGCUGGCCAGAGCACAGGCUUCCAGGCGCGGGACGCCCCCGUGUGCUGCGGGCGCGGCUGCAGUGACCAGCACUGACCGCACACUUGGAAGGGGCUGAGAGUAGAUCGUAAAUGUUCUCCUCACAUAAAGGAAACAGUGAUUCUAUAGAUGAUGCGGGUGGUCCCGAACCCUCCUGUGGCGACCACGUCCCAGCACAGAAGUGUAUCCAGUCACCACACUGUGCACCUUAAACUUACACCACAUUAUAUGUCACUUACAUCCCAAUCAAGUUAGAGAAAAAUAGUAAUUAUAAUUUAAACUUUUUUCUGAUGAAAUAAAAGGUUUAAAUAAAAU